rnacentral:rRNA from 1 species
CCCUUAGAUGUUCUGGGCCGCACGCGCGCUACACUGAUGCAUUCAACGAGUCUAAAACCUGGUCUGAUAGGGCUGGGUAAUCUUUUGAAAGUGCAUCGUGAUUGGGAUAGAUGAUUGCAAUUCUUCAUCUUCAACGAGGAAUGCCUAGUAAACGCAAGUCAUCAGCUUGCAUUGAUUACGUCCCUGCCCUUUGUACACACCGCCCGUCGCUCCUACCGAUGGAUCGUCCGGUGAAGCUCACGGAGUGACUGUUCACGCAACGGUUUACGAAGUGAAAUGGACCUCACGAUUUAGAGGAAGGAGAAGUCGUAACA